rnacentral:rRNA from 1 species
GUUGAACGCUGGCGGCAGGCUUAACACAUGCAAGUCGAGCGGGGUGAUGGUGCUUGCACUAUCACUUAGCGGCGGACGGGUGAGUAAUGCUUAGGAAUCUGCCUAUUAGUGGGGGACAACAUCUCGAAAGGGAUGCUAAUACCGCAUACGUCCUACGGGAGAAAGCAGGGGAUCACUUGUGACCUUGCGCUAAUAGAUGAGCCUAAGUCGGAUUAGCUAGUUGGUGGGGUAAAGGCCUACCAAGGCGACGAUCUGUAGCGGGUCUGAGAGGAUGAUCCGCAACACUGGGACUGAGACACGGCCCAGACUCCUACGGGAGGCAGCAGUGGGGAAUAUUGGACAAUGGGGGGAACCCUGAUGCAGCCAUGCCGCGUGUGUGAAGAAGGCCUUAUGGUUGUAAAGCACUUUAAGCGAGGAGGAGGCUCUUUUGGUUAAUACCCAAGAUGAGUGGACGUUACACGCAGAAUAAGCACCGGCUAACUCUGUGCCAGCCGCCGCCGUAA